rnacentral:snRNA from 1 species
AGAUGUGAGGGAAGUCUGGCUGUGACAUCUUUCACCCCAUUGAUCACCAGGGUCGAUUUGCCUGGCUGAGUGGGUGUCCCCUCCCUCCUUCACUGCUCCAUGUGCAUUGUUCCCAAAGCUGUGCAAUCAGUCAAAGAGAACAACCACCCCCAAUAGAGGAGGACCAUUUCUUUGGUCAAGGGUAUACGAGUAGCUGCGCUCCCCUGCUAGAACCUCCAGGCUCUCAAGAAGUUUGUCUAUCACCACUGGCCUGACAUUUUAUUACUAGGGAUAUUUUA